rnacentral:rRNA from 1 species
GUCUGUUUGAAGUUAUUAAAAGUCUGGCCUGCCCGCUGAAUUUUUAAGGGCCGCGGUAUUAUGACCGUGCAAAGGUAGCAUAAUCAUUAGGUUUUUAAAUGGAAUCUUGUAUGAAUGGUCGGACAAGGGAGADRCUGUCUUUGGUAUAGAUAAUGAAUUUUACUUUUGAGUGAGAAGGCUUAAAUAGUUUAGAGGGACGAUAAGACCCUAUAAAGCUUUACAUUGGAAUUAUAUUUGAUUAAAUUUWUWAAUUAAAGAUUUAAUGUAAGGUUUGUUAUAUUGGGGAGAUAAAAGUAUAAAUUAUAAUAACUGCUUAUUAUAUAAACAUUUAUAAAUGGGUAUUAUAGUAGAUCCUAUAUAAUAUAGAUUGAAAGAUUAAGUUACUUUAGGGAUAACAGUGUAAUUUUUUUUAAGAGUCCAUAUCGAAAAAAAAGUUUGCAACCUCGAUGUUGAAUUAAAAUAUCUAUAUAAUGUAGCUGUUAUAUAAGAGGGUCUGUUCGGC